rnacentral:rRNA from 1 species
AUCCUGGCUCAGAGCGAACGCUGGCGGCAGGCUUAACACAUGCAAGUCGAGCGGGCGUAGCAAUACGUCAGCGGCAGACGGGUGAGUAACGCGUGGGAACGUACCUUUUGGUUCGGAACAACACAGGGAAACUUGUGCUAAUACCGGAUAAGCCCUUACGGGGAAAGAUUCAUCGCCGAAAGAUCGGCCCGCGUCUGAUUAGCUAGUUGGUGAGGUAAUGGCUCACCAAGGCGACGAUCAGUAGCUGGUCUGAGAGGAUGAUCAGCCACAUUGGGACUGAGACACGGCCCAAACUCCUACGGGAGGCAGCAGUGGGGAAUAUUGGACAAUGGGGGCAACCCUGAUCCAGCCAUGCCGCGUGAGUGAUGAAGGCCCUAGGGUUGUAAAGCUCUUUUGUGCGGGAAGAUAAUGACGGUACCGCAAGAA